rnacentral:rRNA from 1 species
GUAGACAUAAAGGUCUUGCCUGCCCAGUGGCUAAAGCUAAACGGCCGCGGUAUCUUGACCGUGCAAAGGUAGCAUAAUCAUUUGUCUUUUAAAUGGAGACUUGUAUGAAUGGCGGAACCUUCUUCAACUGUCUCCCUUUCCACUCCCCCAAAUUUCUAUUUCCGUGAAGAAGCAGAAAUAAAAGAGAAAGACGAGAAGACCCUGUCGAGCUUCAGCUUAAAGGUGAAAAACUAAACAUCAUCCAAAAGCUUUGGUUGGGGCAACCAUGGAGAAAAUACAUCCUCCAGAAAAAAUAGAAGAAAACCCUUCACUAUUUUCAACCUCAAAGAACCAGAAACUGGUAAUCGGAAAAAGUUACCGCAGGGAUAACAGCGUAAUCUUCUCUAAGAGUCCUUAUUGACGAGAAGGUUUGCGACCUCGAUGUUGGAUUGGGGCCUCCUUUGGGUGCAGAAGCUCUAAAAGGUUAGACUGUUCGUCUAUUAAAGCCCU